rnacentral:rRNA from 1 species
AUUGAACGCUGGCGGCAGGCCUAACACAUGCAAGUCGAACGAGUGGCGGACGGGUGAGUAAUGUCUGGGAAACUGCCCGCUGGAGGGGGAUAACUACUGGAAACGGUAGAUAAUACCGCAUACCAUCGGAUGUGCCCAGAUGGGAUUAGCUAGUAGGUGGGGUAACGGGUAACCUAGGCGACGAUCCCUAGCUGGUCUGAAAGGAUGACCAUCCACACUGGAACUGAGACACGGUCCAGACUCCUACGUGAGGCAGCAGUGGGGAAUAUUGCACAAUGGGCGCAAGCCUGAUGCAGCCAUGCCGCGGGUAUGAAGAAGGCCUUCGGGUUGUAAAGUACUUUCAGCGGGGAGGCGUUACCCGCAGAAGAAGCACCGGCUAACUCCGUGCCAGACGCCGCGGUAAUAC